GCGCCUGUAGCUCAACGGUCAGAGCAGCGCCCUCAUAAGGCGUGGGUUGUGGGUUCGAAUCCCACCAGGCGCCCCC
rnacentral:tRNA from 1 species